GGCCCCUGACAAUGGGCAAAGAGACACUUUGUUGGUGUUGGUGUUCUUAUAUCAGUUAAGGAUAUAGCACAUGGCAGUUUUGUUCAUCCUUGCUUGAUGUCUGGCUUGUUUGUCAAAACUUUUUUUUUUUUGCCAAGGACUCACAA